GGCUGCGCACGGCCUCGGAAGCGAUUUCGGGUCGGUUUUGUCUGCAGCCAUCCGUCUGCGAACUGUUGCGGCCUUCACUGGCUUGCUUCAGGGAACAGACCCUUUACUUUGAAAAAAUUAGAGUGUUUAAGGCAGGCUCCGCGCCUGAAUACAUUAGCAUGGAAUAAUGGAAUAGGACGCUUGUCCGUUUGAUUGGUUAUCGGACUGGCGUA
rnacentral:rRNA from 1 species